CCCUUAGAGUUUGAUCCUGGCUCAGAGUGAACGCUGGCGGCAGGCCUAACACAUGCAAGUCGAACGGCAGCACAGGGGAGCUUGCUCCCUGGGUGGCGAAUGGCGGACGGGUGAGGAAUACAUCGGAAUCUGCCCAGUCGUGGGGGAUAACCUCGGGAAACCGGGACUAAUACCGCAUACGACCUUCGGGUGAAAGCAGGGGAUCGCAAGACCUUGCGCGAUUGGAUGAGCCGAUGUCGGAUUAGCUAGUUGGCGGGGUAACGGCCCACCAAGGCGACGAUCCGUAGCUGGUCUGAGAGGAUGAUCAGCCACACUGGAACUGAGACACGGUCCAGACUCCUACGGGAGGCAGCAGUGGGGAAUAUUGGACAAUGGGCGCAAGCCUGAUCCAGCCAUGCCGCGUGAGUGAAGAAGGCCUUCGGGUUGUAAAGCUCUUUUGUCCGGAAAGAAAAGCUUUCGGUUAAUACCCGGAAGUCCUGACGGUACCGGAAGAAUAAGCACCGGCUAACUUCGUGCCGGCAGCCGCGGUAAUACGAAGGGUGCAAGCGUUACUCGGAAUUACUGGGCGUAAAGCGUGCGUAGGUGGUUCGUUAAGUCUGAUGUGAAAGCCCUGGGCUCAACCUGGGAAUUGCAUUGGAUACUGGCGGGCUAGAGUGCGGUAGAGGAUGGCGGAAUUCCCGGUGUAGCAGUGAAAUGCGUAGAGAUCGGGAGGAACAUCCGUGG
rnacentral:rRNA from 1 species